GAGUCAUGGGUUUCGGCGAUUAUCCAGCUGAGUACAAACCUCAGGUCCAUGGACCUUACGACCCCGCCCGGUACUAUGGAAAACGUAAGUGUAACCCCCUA
rfam:Asian citrus Psyllid, Diaphorina citri - Florida Strain, whole genome shotgun sequence.